GUCUGCUUCUGACCGUUUGAGCAGACACAUGCACAUUUGUGGCCUGCUGGAGGUCAUUUUGUAGGGCUCUGGCAGUGCUCCUCCUGUUCCUCCUUGCACAAAGGCGGAGGUAGCGGUCCUGCUGCUGGGUUGUUGCCCUCCUACGGCCUCCUCCAUGUCUCCUGAUGUACUGGCCUGUCUCCUGGUAGUGCCUCCAUGCUCUGGACACUACGCUGAUAGACACAGCAAACCUUCUUGCCACAGCUCGCAUUGAUGUGCCAUCCUGGAUGAGCU
rnacentral:lncRNA from 1 species